rnacentral:tRNA from 1 species
UGGCGGCAUAGCUCAGUUGGUAGAGCAAACGGCUCAUAUCCGUUGUGUCAGAGGUUCAAUCCCUCUUGCCGCUAA